rnacentral:rRNA from 1 species
UAGGGAAUCUUCCACAAUGGACGCAAGCCUGAUGGAGCAACGCCGCGUGAGUGAAGAAGGUUUUCGGAUCGUAAAGCUCUUUUGUUGGUGAAGAAGGAUAGAGGCAGUAACUGGUCUUUAUUUGACGGUAAUCAACCAGAAAGUCACGGCUAACUACGUGCCAGCAGCCGCGGUAAUACGUAGGUGGCAAGCGUUGUCCGGAUUUAUUGGGCGUAAAGCGAGCGCAGGCGGAAUGAUAAGUCUGAUGUGAAAGCCCACGGCUCAACCGUGGAACUGCAUCGGAAACUGUCAUUCUUGAGUGCAGAAGGGGGGAGUGGAAUUCCAUGUGUAGCGGUGGAAUGCGUAAAUAUAUGGAAGAACACCAGGGGCGAAGGCGGCUCUCUGGUCUGCAACUGACGCUGAGGCUCGAAAGCAUGGGUAGCGAACAGG